rnacentral:rRNA from 1 species
UACGUAGGGUGCAGGCGUUAAUCGGAAUUACUGGGCGUAAAGCGUGCGCAGGCGGUUUCUUAAGUCAGAUGUGAAAGCCCCGGGCUUAACCUGGGAACUGCGUUUGAAACUGGGAGACUUGAGUGUGGCAGAGGGGGGUGGAAUUCCACGUGUAGCAGUGAAAUGCGUAGAUAUGUGGAGGAACACCGAUGGCGAAGGCGGCCGUCUGGGCCGACCCUGACGCUGAGGCGCGAAGGCGUGGGGAGCGAACGGG